GAUGAGAAGAAGGAACCAGAGAAGUAGAAGAAGGCGUACUGCUGCUUCUAACCCAACAACGCAGCAAGAAGGAAAAGUUUAAUCUAAAGAAUUUAUAAGUUACCAGUGAUUGUAAGCAGUGGUGGUGUUUGCCUAGCAUCAUGGAGUAAAGGCUCAAACUCCAGGAAUUCCAGCUUUGGAUGCAGGUACUGUGCGCAAGAAUGGGAACGAGCUGGAUCAAGCUGGGUU